rnacentral:rRNA from 1 species
CGCUGGUCCUUUCGGGGGCAUGUGCACGCCCACCAUCCUCAUCUCUCCACCUGUGCACCUCUUGUAGACUUGGAUUGACUUUCCGAGGCAACUCGGUCGGGAGGAUUGCCGGCGCCAGCUGGCUUUCUUUGCAUUUCCGGGUCUACGUUUUUCAUAUACCCCAUUGUAUGUAACAGAAUGUAACAUUGGGCCCUUGUGCCUAUAAACUUUAUACAACUUUCAGCAACGGAUCUCUUGGCUCUCGCAUCGAUGAAGAACGCAGCGAAAUGCGAUAAGUAAUGUGAAUUGCAGAAUUCAGUGAAUCAUCGAAUCUUUGAACGCACCUUGCGCUCCUUGGUAUUCCGAGGAGCAUGCCUGUUUGAGUGUCAUUAAAUUCUCAACCUUUAUCACCUUUUGCUGAUAAUGGCUUGGAUAUGGGGGUCUAUUUUGCUGGCUUCUUUACAGAUGGUCAGCUCCCCUUAAAUGCAUUAGCCGGUGCCCCGCGUGGACUGUCUAUUGGUGUGAUAAUUAUCUACGCCGUGGACAUCUGCAAUCAUAUGGGUUUGCACUGC